rnacentral:misc_RNA from 1 species
AAAGAUUUGGGGUCGGCUAUAUGGUUUGAUUAGUUUAUUUGGUAGAUGAGCUUUUGUUUUUAGCUUGCCAUUUCUAUCCAGAAAAAGAACAAAAAAAAUUAAAAAUUGAAAUUAGAAUUCGUCUGAUUUGGUUUUAAAAUAUGAAAACCUGAAUGACAAAAUGAAAGAACAAAUCUGUGAAAUUUGUUUUUGAACUGAAUCAGAUUAAUGAAAUGUGUCAAUUUGAUUCAUUAAGUUGUUUAACGGGGUACUACUUGCUUUUACUGGAUCAAAUAAUUUCUAUAUUGAAAAACAUGGUUUCUCAUUUUUGCUUAAUCAAAAUUUUAACUAGUUGGCAUAGUUAUUAAAGGCUCAA